rnacentral:rRNA from 1 species
UACGGGGGGUGCGAGCGUUGUCCGGAAUCACUGGGCGUAAAGGGCGCGUAGGUGGCCUGAUAAGGGUGUGGUGAAAGUCCGGGGCUCAACCCCGGAUCGGCCGUGCCGACUGUUAGGCUAGAGUACUGUAGGGGCAGGCGGAAUUCCGGGUGUAGCGGUGGAAUGCGUAGAGAUCCGGAGGAAGACCGGUGGCGAAGGCGGGUCUCUGGGCCGAUACUGACGCUGAGGAGCGAAAGCGUGGGGAGCGAACAGG